CUUAUUUGUUUAUCAUGCUUUUAAUUAUUUCUAGAAUUUUUGUUUUAUGAUUAGUAAUCCACUUAAAAAUUGCAGGUGCUAUCUGUGGCUGUGUACAACCACUAUAAAAGAAUCUAUCAUGCAUCUUUACAGAAAGUAUCUGGAGCUGAUUCAGGGAAUUUUGAGGCUGAAAAUGAUGAUGAUAAUGUAGAGUUAGAGAAAAGCAAUGUGCUCUUGAUGGGCCUUACUGGCUCAGGAAAGACAUUACUUGCAAAAACAUUAGCUCGCUUUGUGAAUGUGCCGUUUGUUAUUGCAGAUGCAACAACACUGACACAGGUAAGUGCGCUACUGUUCUUUUAGUUCCCUACUAUGUUGAAAAUAAAAAUUAUAUAUUCUUUUCUUAGUAUGUCCUAUGAUCCAAGUAUCUUUACUGUUGCGAUUUCCUAGCUUUUCAGAUCUAAUACUUCUUUUUUCUUACAGCAUAUAUUUAUGAUUCAACAGCUAGCCAUGACCUACUUGAUAGCUUUUCUUUUGUUUUGCUUCUUCUGUUCAAUUUCUUUUUGAUAAUAGGAAAGGGGACCAAGAGUUGAGAAAAGUAAUGGGAGAAACAGCCAGAUGACAUACCGGGGGGAACCACCUCUCAAGCUUUAAACAUGAUGCCUCACCCAAAUGAAGAGGUGCAAACUAUUGGGCUGUUGCCCAAUUUGUUUCUUGAGCAUUUUUUUACUUAAAAAAUUUGGUUACUUUCUAAAUCGUAUAUGAAAUAGCUCGUAGCAAUUGCAUAUAAUAAUAACUAAUAUACAUCUAUGACUACUGUUUUGAUGCAUAUAUUGUAGCAAUUGCAUGCUUACAAGGGAUUUCUAUGAGGUGGCACUUGUAAAUUGAGUAGAUUUUGGACCUAUUUGAGCAAAAUGAAAAACAGAAGGUUGAUAUGCAGCAAUACAAAAUGCAAGAGGUAUUCGCAACUCAGUACAAAAUGUAAUGGGGUAUUUAUUUUUAUCCCAGUUUUAUCAACUUUCUAGCUACUCCUUUAAAAUCUAUAGCUAUGCUUAGAACCGGUUUCUUAUGACAAACUCAAGGAGCAUCAUUGGCAUUCUCUGAUGAGAUCUCAAGCUCCACUUAUUCAACAACCUUCUUUGAUGUUGCUGUUUCUCUGUUUGUAUGGGUACUGUGGAGUGUUUGGAAGUAGAUGUUUGGUUGAUUUGUACUUUGA